rnacentral:rRNA from 1 species
UACGAGCGGCCCAAACGUUAUUCGGAUUUACUGGGCUUAAAGAGUUCGUAGGCGGCGCAGCAAGUAGGGUGUGAAAGCCCUCGGCUCAACCGAGGAAUUGCGCCCUAAACUACUGUGCUUGAGGAACCUAGAGGUGAGCGGAACUGAUGGUGGAGCGGUGAAAUGCGUUGAUAUCAUCAGGAACACCGGAGGCGAAGGCGGCUCACUGGGGGUUAUCUGACGCUGAGGAACGAAAGCCAGGGGAGCGAACGGG